CCCUUCUUCUUCUCCUCCUCCUUCUUCCCCGGUCCCUCUCCUCUCCGCUCCGCUCCUCUCCCCAGCCUGAAUAAGCAUCGGGGCUCUGGCUGCCUCCUUCUGCCUUCAUACCAGAGCCCGGAGAGGCCCCUGUCAAAAUAAGAGCUCCACCAUCUCGCUCGCCUUCUCGCCCAGGCCGGCUCCCCCAAGCCUCCCAGUGGUCUGACUCGAUGGAUGGAAGGAAGAGAUAUAUUAACUACAUAUUUCUGUAGCAAUAUGGAUGAAACAUCCUGCAGUACAGAAGCCUUCUGAUUGGUUGAGAGUGAGCUGGGGAAUGUAGAAUGAGUGACUCCACUUCCUCAGCAUCCCACAGGCUGUAGGUGUAGCCACCAUCUGUAGCUCAAGAAGUUCCUUCCAAGGCUGGGACAUAGAAGCUGAAGGAAACCCCAAAAGACCAAUAUGGAAGUCCAAACACUGGCCUUGCCCAAUAAAGAAUUUCAUAGGGAGAUGUUUAAGGAUCAGACAACAUUCUCAUGCAAUGCCUACAUCAACUAAAAUCUUUUAAUUUGUGGGAGGCACCCUGAGGUAGAGGAAAGAUGGUGGACUGUGUGACUUGGGCAAGGUAUUUAAUCUCUCUGGGCCUCCAUUUUCUCUCACAUCCUUUUCAACCCUAACAGUUUAUAUAUACAUCUAUGAAAUUUCCAGAGGAUGAAGAUCAUUUACACUGCUAAGCAUGUAUGCCUUACCCCUGGAGGCUCUGAUUUACAAGGAGUUAGUUGAAAGGCAAUAGAGAAGAGAAGCUGGAUGUUGCAGUGGAUAGAGCACCAGCCCUAGAAUCAGGAGGACCUGAGUUCAAAUGUGGCUUCAGAUGCUUAGUACCUGUGUGACCCUGGGCAAGUCACUUAA